rnacentral:rRNA from 1 species
UACAGAGGUCUCGAGCGUUAGGCGGAAUUACUGGGCGUAAAGCGUGCGCAGGCGGUUAUGCAAGACAGAUGUGAAAUCCCCGGGCUCAACCUGGGAACUGCAUUUGUGACUGCAUGGCUAGAGUACGGUAGAGGGGGAUGGAAUUCCGCGUGUAGCAGUGAAAUGCGUAGAUAUGCGGAGGAACACCGAUGGCGAAGGCAAUCCCCUGGACCUGUACUGACGCUCAUGCACGAAAGCGUGGGGAGCAAACAGG